rnacentral:rRNA from 1 species
AUUGAACGCUGGCGGCAGGCCUAACACAUGCAAGUCGAGCGGAUGAAGGGAGCUUGCUCCUGGAUUCAGCGGCGGACGGGUGAGUAAUGCCUAGGAAUCUGCCUGGUAGUGGGGGAUAACGUCCGGAAACGGGCGCUAAUACCGCAUACGUCCUGAGGGAGAAAGUGGGUGAUCUUCGGACCUCACGCUAUCAGAUGAGCCUAGGUCGGAUUAGCUAGUUGGUGGGGUAAAGGCCUACCAAGGUGACGAUCCGUAACUGGUCUGAGAGGAUGAUCAGUCACACUGGAAGUGAGACACGGUCCCGACUCCUACGGGAGGCAGCAGUGGGGAAUAUUGGAGAAUGGGCGAAAGCCUGAUCCAGCCAUGCCGCGUGUGUGAAGAAGGUCUUCGGAUUGUAAAGCAAUUUAAGUUGGGAGGAAGGGCAGUAAGUUAAUACCUUGCUGUUUUGACGGUACCAACAGAAUAAGCACCGGCUAACUUCGUG